UGGGGAAUUUUGGACAAUGGGCGCAAGCCUGAUCCAGCCAUGCCGCGUGCGGGAAGAAGGCCUUCGGGUUGUAAACCGCUUUUGUCAGGGAAGAAAUCUUCUGAGUUAAUACCUCGGGAGGAUGACGGUACCUGAAGAAUAAGCACCGGCUAACUACGUGCCAGCAGCCGCGGUAAUACGUAGGGUGCAAGCGUUAAUCGGAAUACUGGGCGUAAAGCGUGCGCAGGCGGUUUUGUAAGACAGAGGUGAAAUCCCCGGGCUCAACCUGGGAACUGCCUUUGUGACUGCAAGGCUUGAGUGCGGCAGAGGGGGAUGGAAUUCCGCGUGUAGCAGUGAAAUGCGUAGAUAUGCGGAGGAACACCGAUGGCGAAGGCAAUCCCCUGGGCCUGCACUGACGCUCAUGCACGAAAGCGUGGGGAGCAAACAGGAUUAGAUACCCUGGUAGUCCACGCCCUAAACGAUGUCAACUGGUUGUUGGGAAGGUUCCUUCUCAGUAACGUAGCUAACGCGUGAAGUUGACCGCCUGGGGAGUACGGCCGCAAGGUUGAAACUCAAAUGAAUUGAC
rnacentral:rRNA from 1 species